GGCGCGAUCUCGGCGCUACAGACAAAAUCUUCAGCCUCACAGUUGCCAGGUCUGCGCAAGCGUACGAUCUGCAGGUGAGGACGACUCUAAAGAGCCGUUGCGUAGCAGCGUGGGAGAGAGGAUGAGGGUGAGGGAGACGCGGGAGAGAGGGAGAGAGAGGGAUAGAGACGCAAGGGGGAGAGAGCGUGGGGAGGGUCGCGUUUCCAUUUUGGGUGUCUG
rnacentral:misc_RNA from 1 species